UACGUAGGGGGCAAGCGUUGUCCGGAUUUAUUGGGCGUAAAGAGCGUGUAGGCGGCCAGAUAGGUCUGCUGUGAAAACUCGAGGCUCAACCUCGAGAUGUCGGCGGAAACCAUUUGGCUAGAGUCCGGAAGAGGAAAGUGGAAUUCCUGGUGUAGCGGUGAAAUGCGCAGAUAUCAGGAAGAACACCCGUGGCGAAGGCGGUUCUCUGGGACGGUACUGACGCUGAGACGCGAAAGCGUGGGGAGCGAACAGG
rnacentral:rRNA from 1 species